CCGCGUCUGCUUUCUGCUUUCUCUUCGUCAGGAUGCAGAAAAUCAAGUCCAAGCAGCAGCCCCGUCCGGCAGCGGAAGUGCAGGGUGAGACUGAGCCGAGAGGAAUGGAUGGGUGAACGAGUGAAUGAAUGAACAUGUUUUCUAGAUGUGACCGAGAAGGGGGAGGAUGGUGAGAAGGGCAAGUGGUGGAAGCCCUGGAUCUCGCAGCCUGGCAUUGGGGACUCCUGUGGUUACCACCUUUUUGAGAGUGAUAGUGAGGAGGAGGAAGAGGAGGCAGUGGAGCAGACUCCGGAAGAGGCUCCGCCCCCGAGGAAAUCUGCUUUCCAGCUGAUGUACCAGGCCUGGGUGACCGGGUCAAAAGCGGCACUGAAAGGUCACCGAAAGGAGGAGAAGAGGAUGAAGAAGGAGGAGAGGAGGAGACAGAAAGCAGAGGCGCAGACACAGACAGGU
ensembl:lncRNA